rnacentral:rRNA from 1 species
GAUAUCUGUUUGAUUUUCUCUCCCAUUGGAUAACCGUGGGAAAUCUAGAGCUAAUACGUGCGGUACAUUGGCGUGCUCUUGGGUACGUCAAAGCAUUUAUUAGACUAAACCAUCUACUAUACUUCGGUGUAGUAAGGGGAAUCUGGAUAACUUUGCUGAUCGUAUGGCCUUGUGCCGGCGACGUUUCAAUUGAGUUUCUGCCCUAUCAACUUGUUGGUAAGGUAUUGGCUUACCAAGGUUGCAACGGGUAACGGGGAAUCAGGGUUCGAUUCCGGAGAGGGAGCCUGAGAAACGGCUACCACAUCCAAGGAAGGCAACAGGCGCGCAAAUUACCCAAUCUAGACAGUAGGAGGUGGUGAAGAGAAUUACUAAGUGGUGGUCUAAUAGAUCACUUGUUUGGAAUGAACGUAACUUAAGAAAUUCGAUGAGAAACAACUGGAGGGCAAGUCCUGGUGCCAGCAGCCGCGGUAAUUCCAGCUCCAGUAGUUUGCUUUAAAGUUGUUGCGUUUAAAACGCUCGUAGUUGGAUCACGCAGCAGUGCUCAGUAAUCUAGAGCAUGGAGACGCUAAUGGUUCGUCUCUGACGGCCAUUGAGUGAAUUCGGCAAUAGAUAUUACGCUGGACAUUGCUAGUUGCACGUGAGAUAGAUUGUUGGCCUUGAAUGAGCCGAUAUUCUCGUCUUGCGGGGUGUGCCUUGAAUAAAACAGAGUGCUCAAAGCAGGUUAUUGCCUGAAUGUUAUAGCAUGGAACGAACAAUCGUGUAUAUGUGUACGUUUUUAAACGGCAAUGAGCUUUUGGUUUGUCGCUGUUUAGAAUGUGCACGGCACCCACCAAAAUAUGGCUGUUGGUUCCAUAUACGGUGAUGAUUAAAAGGAGCGGUUGGGGGCAUCGGUAUUUGGCCGCGAGAGGUGAAAUUCUUAGACCGGCCAAGGACUAACAAAUGCAAAGGCACUUGUCUAGACCGUUUCCAUUAAUCAAGAACGAAAGUGGGAGGUUCGAAGACGAUCAGAUACCGUCAUAGUUCCCACCGUAAACUAUGCCGACCUGGGAUCAGUUUGGAGAUGUUACAAGCUCUAGAUUGGUCCCCCUGGGAAACCUGAAGUUUUUCGGUUACGGGGAGAGUAUGGUCGCAAGGCUGAAACUUAAAGGAAUUGACGGAAGGGCACCACCAGGGGUGGAGCCUGCGGCUUAAUUUGACUCAACACGGGGAAACUUACCUGGUCCAGACAUCGAUAGGAUUAACAGAUCAAUAGCUCUUUUAUGAUCCGAUGAGUGGUGGUGCAUGGCCGUUCUUAGUUCGUGGAGUGAUCUGUCAGCUUAAUUGCGGUAACGAACGAGACCACAGUCUCCAUUUAAGAGAUAAGAGAAGACGUAUAGUUUAUUGACCUCACGGUUUAAUGGGCUAGGCGUUGCAGGAAGAGUAGUGUGCUCUAUUAAUAGGUAUGCAAUGGAAACUGCGUGUGCUUGUUGGCAGAGUGUGUUAUUUCUCCCUCUUAUCACGCAGCAGUUGGUUUCACUGGCUGUUGCCUUAUGGAGAGACAACGAGGUAUAAACAAGCUCGAGGAAGAGUGGCUAUAAC